UUACGGCCACAUCACGUUGAAACACCGAUGAUCACCGAAGUUAAACAACGUUGAGCUUGGUCAGUACCUAGAUGGGUGACCGCUUGGGAAUACCAGGUACCGUAAG